rfam:Capsicum annuum cultivar Zunla-1 chromosome 3, whole genome shotgun sequence
AGACUAUUGGUGAUGUGGACAAUCCCACAGAAGAUCCUUGAAGCAUUUCCAAGCGUGAUAUAAAUUUUCAUUAGGCUUCUGUUUAAAGCUCACUAUCUCACUAUGAAGUCU